rnacentral:lncRNA from 10 species
UUUUGGAUGGUACACAAAAAAGAAUAAUUGCCUCCAUCCUAUCCUUCGGGAUCUGAAAAUCUAGCUGUGGAGACAGCUCAGCUUAUUUUUAAAAAGGCAAAUGUGCUCCAAUGUAUCGUAGGAACCAAGCGAGUGAACACCAGAGAGCUGGGGUAGUCACAGGGGGCCUCAAGGAGGUGGUGAGACUGAAGCAGCAGAACAGGAUUUGGAAGAAGGAUUUAGGAUUUGGAGGGCUUUUUAGGGGAGGGCCAAAGAGAGGACAGGUGUGCCCAGGCAUGCCCCGGGGGUGUGAGGGCAGCUGGAUCCCAGGGUGUCUGAGAGUGGUCACCUGAGGGCAUGCUCAUUGGUGGGUGUGGCCAUCACAGGACAUGGCUACAAGGGGCGUGACUAUCAAAAGCAGAGCCAUUCAAGGUCGUGCCCAUCUGUCGGCGAGGUCACCAGGGCCGUCUGUGGGCGUGGUCACCACAGGGCGUGGCUGCAAAGGGUGACAGAUGGUGGUCAUGGUCGGAUGAGUUGGGAGGCAGAGGGUGGGCUUGGGCCUGUUUGGGAAGCAGAGCUUGGAUGUCAUUCUCCAAGCCUCAGAGGCCAUUGGAGGUGUUGGGCAGGGAGGGUGCAUGGACAAAGAGGUGCUUGAGGAACAGUGAUCAGAUAUGUGCCAGCUUCAGCUGUCCUAGCGUCCCCAUCCCUAGGUAGGCACUGGGAAGAAGAAAGGCGUCUGGAAGUCCCAUCCAAAUCCCCCCGCCGCCCCCACCUCGCCUCUCUGGCUUCACUGUGAAGCGGGUCAACUUUUUCCAAGGGCAGGAGAAUGUGGUUCCCUGUUGCUUGAGGGGCUCUGCAGGCCGAAGGGCCUUGCUACAUUGUCCAGGUUGGUCUCGAACUCCUGAGGUCAAGUGAUCCUCCUGCCUCAGCCUCCCAAGUAGCUGGGAUUACAGGUGCACACCACCACAUCUGGCCCUCGUUACCUUCUGCCUAGACUGUUUGAUGAUUUCUCUGCUGGCUCCCCGUCUCACACUGUUGCUAGGACGUUUCUAGACCACAGUUCCGGUGCAUUCACGGAUGCCCUCAAGAACCUUCAACGGCUCCCACCUCCAGCAGGAAAUGAACUCAAGUGUUCAGAGCUCUCCUGACUCCCUGACUCGCUCAUGCGUCUAUUCACGGUCUGCUGUGCGGCGUGUCAGCCAGUGGCCUGCCUCCCCUUCCAGCCGUAGCCCACACCACUCUGAUGUGAUGGGACACCCCGUGGCCAGCUUCCCUGUGCCCUGAGCUUCUUCCUGGCCCCGGGCCGGCGACGCUCCUCCACCCUGCUGCAACCUGCAGAAAUCCUUCCAGGGGCCUCGUUCUAUAAAUUCUGUCUACAUGUCCCCAAGCAGCAGUGCCCCCCACCUCCAAAUGCCCUUGAUGCUCUGGGCUUGCCACUCCAUUUAACAGUGUCCUUCUCGGCUGUUUUCUCCGAAGCGGCUGGAGGGCAGAGUCUGUGUCUCAUUUGCCUGAGAUUUCCUCCCCUGCUGAGCUCAGGGCCUGCAAAUAUUUGCUGGGUAGACAUGGAUGGACAGCCUGACCAGGACGCCUCCUGCUCCCAGCACUGCCCCUCCCCGUCUGGGGUCCUCCUUCCGAGUCAUCUGGAUACGCCAGCAAGCCUAGAUUCUCAUCUGCCUGCCGGACUCCCCGGACUUUUUCAGAGAUCAUUGCAAAGCUCACCGCCAUAAAGCCAAUCUGCAAACACUUUUCUUGCUUCUUUUUUUAACCUCAAUUAAACACACUAAAAUACAUAAAUGAGUAAAUAAAUAAAUAACAGGACAACUUGGUGUGGUGUAAUUCAGGUUUGGUAAACAAUGAUGGUGUUCUCUUCUUACUCGCACCCCCUCCUCUGCCACCUCUCUCACGCUCUCCUGCUCUCUCCUGCCACCCUCCAGGUGCCCUCUCUGACCCCACCUCCCCUCCUGCCCUCACUCACAGUCAGGAAGGCUUCCCAUUUCCUCCCGACUUCCCCAGUGGGACCCAAGUCCUUGGGAGUCAGGACAGAAGGUGACUUGGGUGGAGGCAGUGAGCUAGGAAAGAAAGGCAGCAGGUAUGAUCUGGGCCAUUCGGAGGGCAGGGCAGGGGCAAGGAGGCUUGGCUGGCUGGGUGGUGCUCUGGGGCCCAUCCACCCUGAACUGGGAGGAAGGGUGUUGCCCCCAUCCAGUGAGCAUGGGUGGCAGGGGCACUGAGCUGCAGAGGCCACCACCCCAGAGCCGCCAGAGCCACUCUUGACCAAGCACUGAGGACCAGCCUUGGCACAGGCCCUGGGUGGAGAAGUCCCAAGGACACCAAACCCACCGUUAGUGCUGGCUUGACUGAGCCUCCCUAGUGCUGAUACCAGAUAACAAGUGCAACUGUGUCCAGAUCCGAGGGCAGCCGUGGGCGUGAGAUUCAUGGGAGGGCAGGGCCGCCAAAAACAGGAGUGGCU